rnacentral:rRNA from 1 species
UCAGGACGAACGCUGGCGGCGUGCCUAAUACAUGCAAGUUGAACGCAACAAAGACACCAGAGCUUGCUCUACCGUCUUUGUUGAGUAGCGAACGGGUGAGUAACGCGUGGGUAACCUGCCUUAUAGCGGGGGAUAACUAUUGGAAACGAUAGCUAAUACCGCAUAACAAUAGAGAUUGCAUAAUCUUUAUUUGAAAGUGCCAACUGGUACACUAUGAGAUGGACCCGCGUUGUAUUAGCUAGUUGGUAGUGUAAUGGACUACCAAGGCGAUGAUACAUAGCCGACCUGAGAGGGUGAUCGGCCACAUUGGGACUGAGACACGGCCCAAACUCCUACGGGAGGCAGCAGUAGGGAAUCUUCGGCAAUGGACGAAAGUCUGACCGAGCAACGCCGCGUGAGUGAAGAAGGUUUUCGGAUCGUAAAACUCUGUUGUUAGAGAAGAAUGUUGAUUAGAGUGGAAAAUUAAUCAAGUGACGGUAUCUAACCAGAAAGGGACGGCUAACUACGUGCCAGCAGCCGCGGUAAUACGUAGGUCCCGAGCGUUGUCCGGAUUUAUUGGGCGUAAAGCGAGCGCAGGUGGUUUAAUAAGUCUGAUGUAAAAGGCAGUGGCUCAACCAUUGUGUGCAUUGGAAACUGUUAGACUUGAGUGCAGUAGAGGAGAGUGGAAUUCCAUGUGUAGCGGUGAAAUGCGUAGAUAUAUGGAGGAACACCGGUGGCGAAAGCGGCUCUCUGGACUGUCACUGACACUGAGGCUCGAAAGCGUGGGUAGCAAACAGGAUUA